rnacentral:rRNA from 1 species
GGUGCCCGUACCGCAAACCGACACAGGUAGGUAGGAAGAAGAUUCUAAGGCCAACGGGAGAAGGGUUGUUAAGGAACUCGGCAAAUUGACCCCGUAACUUCGGGAGAAGGGGUGCUCCAGAGAUGGAGCCGCAGAGAAUCGGCCCAAGCAACUGUUUACCAAAAACACAGGUUUGUGCUAAAUCGAAAGAUGACGUAUACGAGCUGACGCCUGCCCGGUGCUGGAAGGUUAAGAGGAGAUGUGCAAGCAUUGAAUCGAAGCCCCAGUGAACGGCGGCCGUAACUAUAACGGUCCUAAGGUAGCGAAAUUCCUUGUCAGGUAAGUUCUGACCCGCAUGAAAGGCGUAAUGAUUUGGGCACUGUCUCAACAGCCCGCCCGGCGAAAUUGUAGUACCGGUGAAGAUGCCGGUUACCCGCGACAAGACGGAAAGACCCCAUGGAGCUUUACUGUAGCCUAAUAUUGGGUUUCGAUGUUGCAUGCACAGGAUAGAUGGGACACUGGGAAACAAUCGCUUUGGCGGUUGCGGAGUGGCCGUUGGGAUACCAUCCUUGCGAUAUUGGAAUUCUAACCUGCGGCUCUGAAUCGAGUCGGGGGACAUUGUUAGGUGGGCAGUUUGACUGGGGCGGUCGCCUCCUAAAGAGUAACGGAGGCGUUCAAAGGUUCGCUCAGCUUGAACGGAAAUCAAGCAAAAGAGUGCAAACGCAGAAGCGAGCCUAACUGCGAGACUGACGGGUCGAGCAGUAACGAAAGUUGGAGUUAGUGAUCCGGUGGUAUGUGAGUGGAAAUGCCAUCGCUCAACGGAUAAAAGUUACCCUGGGGAUAACAGGCUGAUCUCCCCCAAGAGUCCACAUCGACGGGGAGGUUUGGCACCUCGAUGUCGGCUCAUCGCAUCCUGGGGCUGUAUUCGGUCCCAAGGGUUUGGCUGUUCGCCAAUUAAAGCGGUACGCGAGCUGGGUUCAGAACGUCGUGAGACAGUUCGGUCCCUAUCUGU